rnacentral:lncRNA from 1 species
GAAAAAACACAGCCAAUAUUGUUAGACGUGAUGGCUUAGUGAGAAAAUUUCUCGCAGUAUCUAACAUUAUACGAUUCUUUUAAUUAAAUCCUUUAGAUUCGUCUUUAGCUUCAAAUAUCUCGAAUAAAAAAAACAUAAACAAUCCAUAUUCAUUAUUAAUAUCUCAUUAUAAGUGUCAUAAAAGUAAUGUAUAUUUUAGCUUUAAGAGUUUGAUCUAAUGGUAAAAUGACACACCUCAAACAUAGAAGUUCCAUGUUCAAGCCCCGCUAAUGUUGAUUGAUUAGAGAUGUAAAUGUAUAUCUCUUUAUAAGUGAAGUACUACUCACUUCUUAAAAAAAUAUUAGUUGUAUGGAUUUCUAUGAUAAAAUACUGUGUACAAUUUGUAACGAAUAAAGAAACCAUAUUAGUUGGAACUACCAAUAAAAACCAUAUUAGUUGGAGUGACUGAAAGCAGGUAGUACUGAUUGAGUAAUUAGGGGGAUUAUAAACGAGAGUAUAAUUGUAAAAAAUAAUAAAAAUCGUCUUAGUACUCUAAAGUGGCAUCUUUAGCAAAAAAAGUGUUCUAUGGAACAAAUAGAUUGAAACAGCGAGUAGUUACUAAGAAAAGCACAGCAUAUAACAAAGUAUGUUGGAAAAAAAUUUAGUUAGACUACUUUCCAUCACAUAACAUAAAUAUACACAAUUGUGCCUUACGGGUCUAUUUAUUGAAAACUACGAGUAUUCUUAUAUUUUGACACAUUCAGAGAAAAUGUGAAUGCUCUAAUGAAGGCCAAACUAUUCGGUUGCAAUUGAGUUGUAAUGUUCCUUCUUACUCAGGUUAGGGAGGUAUGUCUUCUAACAAAUACAUAGACUAGCCACAUCCCAUUGAGAUUCACAGAAACAGAGAUAGUUUAUGAAGAGGUAAUCGUUUGCAAAAUCAACUAAGAAUCAGGAAGAGGUAAUUCAAAUGACCUCCAACAUCUCAUUCUUGAGAGAAAAUUACUCUUCUCCCUUUCGUUUUUGCUCAUUCCCUUCAUUCAGCGUGAGUUAACUCACGCUGAAGCGUGAGUUAACUCACGCUGAAGUGACACUUUUAAGAUCGGUUCAAUCACUUUCUAAGUCGGUUCAACCGAUCUUAAAAGUGUCAGUGUGAGUUAAUUCACGCUGGAUUAAGGGAAUGAGCAAUUUUGAAAGAGAGAAGAGCAAUUUUCUUCUUGAGAGUCCUCUAUUAAUCAGGUACAUUCCACAUAACAAAGCCCGAGGGGAAAUCAUACCAACUACUGAUUUUUUUUUACAACUUGGAACCCUUUGUUACCAUAGAAAAAAAAACAAAUAAAAUUAAAAAUGGGUUUUGAAAAAAUCCAUUCCAUUGAUAUUUUUCAAAUCCAAUAUCAAAAAAUCCUUUUUUUAACUAUACUUACUAGGUAAAUCCAAUUUAGAACGUUGGAUGGUGCUUUUGGCCAUCUAAGAAAGUGGGGAUUUCAACUCUUCACUCCAGUAGGAUCAUGACAAAAAAUGAGGUGUAAAUAAGCAUUGAGGUUAAAUUGCUUCCCACUGCAAUACAUUGCUUCCUAUUAAGAUUCUCAAUCCAGGUACAUAACUUCGACAUCAUCUAUUACAUUUGAGAAAUUAUGUGGACACAACUAUGUUUUUGCCAGAACUUCUGCGUAAAUAACCCCCUUCCCUUCCAACAAUAAGCAGGUAGGUAUUGAGUAUCAAUGCCUUGCUCUUAGUCAAGUUAGUGAAGCACAUAUCCGAUUGAUGGCGGGGCCUGUUCUUGCCUCUUUUCCUGCCUUCUUGAUCUUAUGUUAUAUCAUGCUUCAAUAUCUAUGUGCAAUCUUAAUUUUUUCAAUGGCCGGAGUCGGACCAAAAGAAUAAAGCAGCAAGGGCCCGAGCGCUGAGUCAGACUAAAAGAUAAAGUAAAGUUCAGUCAUGACCAAAGUCACUUUCAACCAGACCAAGUAUAUGAGUCAAUGUUACCUGCAAAAGCAGUUUUGAGCCUCCUUUUCACACCAUCAUGAAACUUGGGUCCAUCAAGAAUGGGAAGGAAAGUCAUUUUCAUCUGGACUAGGCAAAGGAACGUUGAUGCCCUUUGUCGAGGUUACCUCUUACCAUCGAGAAUAUGAAUCUCCAUAUGUUUUAUAAUAAUGUCCAUAUCGUCUGUUAGAAGUUCUGUCAUAGGAAUUUCUAUAACCAUCGGGUGAUCUUCCAUUCCCAUAAACGUCUGAAGAUCUCCUGCAUGCGCCACCUCCGUUCCUUUGUUUGUAAAGUUUCCUUAUGUCCUCUUCCAAAUCAUACUCCGAGCGCUAUGAUAAAUGAAAGAAAAACUAGUCAGUUUUAAUAUUAAAUUAUAAAGAAUGACCCUUGA